GACGAACGCUGGCGGCGUGCUUAACACAUGCAAGUCGAACGGAAAGGCCCUGCUUUUGUGGGGUGCUCGAGUGGCGAACGGGUGAGUAACACGUGAGUAACCUGCCCUUGACUUUGGGAUAACUUCAGGAAACUGGGGCUAAUACCGGAUAGGAGCUCCUGCUGCAUGGUGGGGGUUGGAAAGUUUCGGCGGUUGGGGAUGGACUCGCGGCUUAUCAGCUUGUUGGUGGGGUAGUGGCUUACCAAGGCUUUGACGGGUAGCCGGCCUGAGAGGGUGACCGGCCACAUUGGGCCUGAGAUACGGCCCAGACUCCUACGGGAGGCAGCAGUGGGGAAUAUUGCCCAAUCGGCGGAAGCCUGAUGCAGCAACGCCGCGUGCGGGAUGACGGCCUUCGGGUUGUAAACCGCUUUCGCCUGUGACGAAGCGUGAGUGACGGUAAUGGGUAAAGAAGCACCGGCUAACUACGUG
rnacentral:rRNA from 1 species